rnacentral:other from 1 species
CCCUGCGGUGUUCGUCAGGCUCAUAAUUUCUUAGAACCAAUACGCACAGCGUAAGGUCGCAAUCCAAUUCGUUACUGUUGUGCGCGUCCCUAGUGGAUGUACCUGAUGUAACCGGAGCGCGGCCCUCUUGGACCCAGGUUCAAGAUAAUUGGGUCAACGGCACAGGCGGGGGGCUU